UACAUCCCCAUCUACUCAAUGGGCCUUUUCGCAUGAUUAUUUUCAUAUUGAGCUUAAUUUUAUAUUUUCAAGAUCCAAAACUAUAAUCGAUCUAGAACUAAAGUCUAAAGCCCUUGAGAGCACCCAGAAACUGAAAAGCGCACAAAUCGCAAGCAAAUCGAGAGAGCUCUUCAAUUGAAAAAAAAAAAUGUUCGGUCGAAGCAGGUUCCUCUCGUUUCCACUGGUGAUUGGAGCAGUCAUAAUUGGAGUUGUUUCUGGAAAGGCAAUAUUUGGACCCCCACUUGAAGAGUACUGGAAAAAAAGGCUUCAGGAAGACGCAGCUGCAAAGGAGACUGAUGUAAGUUCAAGUUAGCAGAUAUUAAAGUGAAUUUCCUCAUGCUUGGUCCUUUCAUGAAAGAGCAAUGCCAGGGGAUUACUCUUCCAGUUUGCUUUUUUAAGUAAGCUGAAGCAAAGUCAUGUGUUUGUGUUCUUGAUAUUGUCAUGAUAAAAUUCGGAACAGGGCAAAAGCCAAUAACAUUGGAUGCAUCAAAUACCUGACCCCAUAACAAAAAGAUACAGUGAGUUUAAUCUGUCUUUCUGGUUAAAGAAAAACGAUACACAAGUUCUGUAUUUGAUCAAUUGUUUUUGAGUUGCUACAUUACAAUGAACACUGUUAUUGAACCUUGGUAAUAUUAUCUAGGAAAUGCUGCUUGUAGAA